GCCUUUGUAGCUCAGUUGGGAGAGCGUUAGACUGAAGAUCUAAAGGUCAUCGGUUCGAUCCCGAUCGAGGGCA